CCUACGGGAGGCAGCAGUGGGGAAUAUUGGGCAAUGGGCGCAAGCCUGACCCAGCAACGCCGCGUGAAGGAAGAAGGCUUUCGGGUUGUAAACUUCUUUUAAGAGGGAAGAGCAGAAGACGGUACCUCUUGAAUAAGCCACGGCUAACUACGUGCCAGCAGCCGCGGUAAUACGUAGGUGGCAAGCGUUGUCCGGAUUUACUGGGUGGAAAGGGCGUGCAGCCGGGAAGACAAGUCAGAUGUGAAAUCCCGCGGCUCAACCGCGGAACUGCAUUUGAAACUGUUUUUCUUGAGUACCGGAGAGGUCAUCGGAAUUCCUUGUGAAGCGGUGAAAUGCGUAGAUAUAAGGAAGAACACCAGUGGCGAAGGCGGAUGACUGGACGGCAACUGACGGUGUGGCGCGAAAGCGUGGGGAGCAAACAGGAUUAGAUACCCCUGUAGUC
rnacentral:rRNA from 1 species